UCCGCAGCCCCUGUCUCUGGAAGUCACCAAACAACCCCCUGAGAACUCCCCUCUCCAAACACGGGACAAUGAGGCUUUGGUUGUAUCUCGUUCUCAUUGCAGCAGCGUUUGAAGGUGUCCGGUCCCAGGUGCAGCUGGUGGAGUCCGGAGGGGAUGUGAAAAAGCCCGGAGACUCUCUCCGCCUCUCCUGCAAAGCCUCUGCGUUCACCUUCCACAGCGCCUAUAUGCACUGGAUCCGACAGGCUCCCGGGAAGGGGCUGGAGUGGGUGGCUGAGAUUAGACCCGAUGCAUCCAAGCAGUGGUACUCCCUGGCUGUUGAAGGCCGAUUCACCAUCUCCAGGGACAACCCCAACAACCUGCUGUAUCUGCAAAUGACCGGCCUGAAGCCCGAGGACACCGCCCGCUAUUACUGUGCUGGAGACCCACGCUGA